GCAAGACCUGCUCCCUGCAUUUCUGGCUGAUUUCCACCUGGCCUGGAAGGGCGGGGCCCUGUCUCUCUCCAGCUACAAAAGCAGCAACUGCUGAAGGGGCCAGAGACCAUCUACCUGUGUGAGUUUCUGCAAGACCUGCUCCCUGCAUUUCUGGCUGAUUUCCACCUGGCCUGGAAGGGUGGGGCCCUGUCUCUCUCCAGCUACAAAAGCAGCAACUGCUGAAGGGGCCAGAGACCAUCUACCUGGGUGCACAUUGCAGCAAGGAGUACAGGUACAGAAACAAAAUGAAUGAUGUCUUGUGCCUUUAAUAGCUGAGUGGCAGGCAAAAAUUAAACAGAGAUAGCCUUUUCUAGUAUGGAAAUACAAUUGAGGGUUCUCCCUGCCAAGCAGACUGCCAGAAAAAGGACAUAACACUCUUAAGACAGAUCUGAACUGAUCAUCACUUGCAGAGGGCUUUUGAAGUGAGUCCAAAGGCCACAUAAAAGUAGGCGGAGGGCUGCAGUCAGCCCUAAAGCCACAGGGUUCAUAUCUGUGCUUUAAAUGGCGGUGUGUGAUAUUCUCCUUAUGGGAUACUGCCCAGGGAAGCUGAUCUCCAAAUACACAAGCACAAAGGAAUUAUUCAGUCUAAAACAGAUGCUACUGAAAAUGCCCCAUCUGCAUCUCCUGACUCUCUGCAUCUCCCUCUCCAUGCUCGACACGUAAAAUAAAAUCUGAGACAUGGCAUCAUCAUGGUUUGAGAUUCCCCACCUCUACUUUCCCACUUCACUGGCUGCUGGGGAAGGGAUGCAAGGCUGCUUUUCUCAGUGGCUCCAGGAGCAUCCCAUCCCUGCCUCAGCUUGAAUCAGUAUUGGGG